UGGGGAAUUUUGGACAAUGGGCGAAAGCCUGAUCCAGCAAUGCCGCGUGUGUGAAGAAGGCCUUCGGGUUGUAAAGCACUUUUGUCCGGAAAGAAAUCCUUGGCUCUAAUACAGUCGGGGGAUGACGGUACCGGAAGAAUAAGCACCGGCUAACUACGUGCCAGCAGCCGCGGUAAUACGUAGGGUGCAAGCGUUAAUCGGAAUUACUGGGCGUAAAGCGUGCGCAGGCGGUUUGCUAAGACCGAUGUGAAAUCCCCGGGCUCAACCUGGGAACUGCAUUGGUGACUGGCAGGCUAGAGUAUGGCAGAGGGGGGUAGAAUUCCACGUGUAGCAGUGAAAUGCGUAGAGAUGUGGAGGAAUACCGAUGGCGAAGGCAGCCCCCUGGGCCAAUACUGACGCUCAUGCACGAAAGCGUGGGGAGCAAACAGGAUUAGAUACCCUGGUAGUCCACGCCCUAAACGAUGUCAACUAGUUGUUGGGAAUUCAUUUCCUUAGUAACGUAGCUAACGCGUGAAGUUGACCGCCUGGGGAGUACGGUCGCAAGAUUAAAACUC
rnacentral:rRNA from 1 species